rnacentral:lncRNA from 1 species
GGAGAAGGGCCUUUUCUUCUCUCUUCUAUGAAGACCACUCAUUGACGACAUCAUCGCAGGUCUGGUUUACUAUCCGAGCUCCAGGAGCCUCCUAUUUGCCAAUGAUCUGUGGAAGGGAGAGAGCAGUAUGCUGGAGGGGAUGAUUUGGCAAGUCCGCUGAAGAACACAAGCCUCGACUGCUCCCCAGCAUGGAAGAAGGAAGGCGAUAAAUACUGUAAUGGAGGACGAGGAAGGAGCACUGAGUUCUAUGUGGAAAGAAAGGGUCAGAAAGAGGAAAACGCCUAUUCACAUGCAUGGCGUUUAACAGAUUUAUUAGGUUGUUUGCUGUGUGAUGUAAAUCUCCUCCUCUCUCUCCUUGAAAUUUCUUGAGUGAAUUCUACAUUGUUCAUUCAUUCAUGUUUAUGUGCCAGCAAGCUUUGGGAGCACUGUAAAAAUAAAAAAGGUUAGACCACUGUUAGACAU